UAACGAAUCUUCCGCAAUGCACGCAAGUGUGACGGAGCGACGCCGCGUGUGGGACGAAGCCCUUCGGGGUGUAAACCACUGUCAGGGGUAGGAAAGUUCUGAUCCACCCCAGAGGAAGGCACGGCUAACUCUGUGCCAGCAGCCGCGGUAAGACAGAGGUGCCGAGCGUUAGGCGGAAUCACUGGGCUUAAAGCGUGUGUAGGCGGCCCGUUAAGUGUCUUGUGAAAUCCCGCGGCUCAACCGCGGAACGGCUGGGCAUACUGGCGGGCUUGAGCGAUCUAGGGGCAGAUGGAACAAGUGGUGGAGCGGUGAAAUGCGUAGAUAUCACUUGGAACGCCGAAGGUGAAGACAGUCUGCUGGGGAUCUGCUGACGCUGAGACACGAAAGCCAGGGGAGCGAACGGGAUUAGAUACCCCCGUAGUCC
rnacentral:rRNA from 1 species